rnacentral:rRNA from 1 species
UACGUAGGGGGCGAGCGUUAUCCGGAUUUACUGGGCGUAAAGCGCGUUAAGGCGGUUGGCAAAGUUGGUUGUGAAAUCUCAGGGCUCAACCCUGAAAUUGCGACCAAUACUGGUCGACUAGAGUGUGAGAGAGGAAGGUGGAAUUCCCGGUGUAGUAGUGAAAUGCGUAGAUAUCGGGAGGAACACCAGUGGCGAAGGCGGUUGCCUGGGGCUUUGCUGACGCUGAUGCGCGAAAGCGUGGGGAGCGAGCCGG